rnacentral:rRNA from 1 species
UGGGGAAUUUUGGACAAUGGGGGCAACCCUGAUCCAGCCAUUCCGCGUGAGUGAAGAAGGCCUUCGGGUUGUAAAGCUCUUUCAGCAGGAACGAAACGGUCGGCUUUAAUAAAGUCGGCUAAUGACGGUACCUGCAGAAGAAGCACCGGCUAACUACGUGCCAGCAGCCGCGGUAAUACGUAGGGUGCGAGCGUUAAUCGGAAUUACUGGGCGUAAAGCGUGCGCAGGCGGCGACAUAAGACAGAUGUGAAAUCCCCGGGCUCAACCUGGGAACUGCGUUUGUGACUGUGUUGCUAGAGUGUAGCAGAGGGGGGUGGAAUUCCACGUGUAGCAGUGAAAUGCGUAGAGAUGUGGAGGAACACCGAUGGCGAAGGCAGCCCCCUGGGUUAACACUGACGCUCAUGCACGAAAGCGUGGGGAGCAAACAGGAUUAGAUACCCGGGUAGUCCCUGAGCGGGCUGGCAAGGCG